CAUUUGAUCAUAGGAUAAAAUUAAAUUUCCCACCGAAAAUGUCCACGUAAUGAUAUUUAUAAAUUAAGUAAUGGUUGCACCUGCUCAUUGUUUUAUUACGAACUAAUGAAAAACAUGGGCCCGCCCAAAAAAUAUGCCGUCACUCGAGUCAAGAAAAGACAGCCAAGAAAUGGUAAGGAAUGCCGCCUAGGUAUCUCUCCUUGCGUGUGUUCAAAGUGAAAAAUGAAACCUGAAUAGUGUCUGGUUGAUUGCGGAUACUGGGGAAGGCUUUUUUGUUUAUGGCGAAAUAGAGAGGAGUUACCUCAAUUCUGAAGAUGUUGCGAGACCCGGUUUUCCUCAAGCUCUUCCUGCCGUGAGGGACGACGGAUUGAGCCAAGCACACCAUGGACUCCCACUGGUUUCGGUUCAGCGAGUCGCCCACGAACAUGAGCCUCUUGUUCCUCAGCUUCUGAAGCAGCAACCUUGGCUUGAACCUUAAAAAGAAAAAAGCAAGAACACCCCAUGAAUUGGACUCAGGUUCCAAAUCAAGAACAACGAAGAGAUCAUCAAAGUUUUGAAGGAGUUUACUUACUUGGGCAGAGAGCAGUCUCUGGGUUGCCAUCUCCAGCUCUGGUACUUGGAGUCCUUCCUUCCAUUCCUCAUGCAGGUCACUUGUGCCGUGAGGAACUCACACUCGUCUUCUCCGUACAGAGGGUGUGUGACAUUGUCAAAGACCCAUUGCCCCGUGAAGAGGUCACACUCUUGUGGUGGCAAUUCAACCUCUUCCUCAUCCUCUUCAAUCACUGCCAUUUCGAUCUUCUGCUCCUCCUCUUCCUCUUCCUUGUUCGGUGAUCUUGAUUUUGCAUCAUCAAGAGCCUCCUGUUUUGUUGAUCGAGUGCUCCCGGCCAGAGCCUUCUCUGCAUUAAGCUUGUUUGGCUCUGACCCUUCUUGGAUUUCCUGAUUCUUAGGCCAUGAGAAUGGGAAUUCGGCAAUCGACUUCACGUCCUCGUUGUACAUGAAGACCCCGAACAGGAACAUCGAGAACACGACCACAAAGACAGAGAGGUUGUUGCCCUUCCGGCCUCCCCCACCGCCGACCCCCGCUGCUGCAUGCUUCAUGGCGGCCAUCUCGGACGAGAAGAGCUUCGUCUUACGGCGAGGCGGCUGCAUGGAAGAAGGGAAAGUUUGAGUGCUAUGGUGAGAUUGUGGAGGCGAAGAGAGGAGGAAAAAUAUAGAGAGACUAAAUUGAGCAUCAUGGGUGGAGAGCAGAUGCUUACAUCCAUUAAGUUUUUUGGUUUAUUGAGGUUUGGUGGGAAGGUGUUUUCUUCAACAAGACUUGUUAGGGGUCACCGGCUGAUGUAGAUUGAUGAGUUGUCUUUCUCAGAAAAUAUUAUUCCCCGCCUCCUAA